rnacentral:ribozyme from 1 species
AACCCCCUGCCAAAGCCAUGCAUACCCCAAAUAAAAGAAUUAAUGAAUUCAUUGAGAGUUUCAUUUUUUUGAACAUGAACAAAAAGGUUCAAGAUUGCUUGCUGUUUGUUGUUUGUUGUUUGUUGUUUGUUGUUU